GACGAACGCUGGCGGCGUGCUUAACACAUGCAAGUCGAACGGAAAGGCCCCUUUGGGGGUCCUCGAGUGGCGAACGGGUGAGUAACACGUGAGUAACCUGCCCUUGACUUCGGGAUAACUUCAGGAAACUGGGGCUAAUACCGGAUAGGAAUCCUUGCUGCAUGGUGGGGGUUGGAAAGCUUCGGCGGUUUUGGAUGGACUCGCGGCGUAUCAGCUUGUUGGUGGGGUAGUGGCUUACCAAGGCUUUGACGGGUAGCCGGCCUGAGAGGGCGACCGGCCACAUUGGGACUGAGAUACGGCCCAGACUCCUACGGGAGGCAGCAGUGGGGAAUAUUGCACAAUGGGCGGAAGCCUGAUGCAGCAACGCCGCGGGCGGGAUGACGGCCUUCGGGUUGUAAACCGCUUUCAGCAGGGGCGAAGCUUGUGGUGACGGUACCUGCAGAAGAAGCACCGGCUAACUACGUG
rnacentral:rRNA from 1 species